rnacentral:rRNA from 1 species
GGAAUCUUCCACAAUGGACGAAAGUCUGAUGGAGCAACGCCGCGUGAGUGAAGAAGGUUUUCGGAUCGUAAAGCUCUGUUGUUGGUGAAGAAGGAUAGAGGCAGUAACUGGUCUUUAUUUGACGGUAAUCAACCAGAAAGUCACGGCUAACUACGUGCCAGCAGCCGCGGCAAUACGUAGGUGGCAAGCGUUGUCCGGAUUUAUUGGGCGUAAAGCGAGCGCAGGCGGAAUGAUAAGUCUGAUGUGAAAGCCCACGGCUCAACCGUGGAACUGCAUCGGAAACUGUCAUUCUUGAGUGCAGAAGAGGAGAGUGGAACUCCAUGUGUAGCGGUGGAAUGCGUAGAUAUAUGGAAGAACACCAGUGGCGAAGGCGGCUCUCUGGUCUGCAACUGACGCUGAGGCUCGAAAGCAUGGGUAGCGAACAGGAUUAGAUACCCUGGUAGUCCAUGCCGUAAACGAUGAGCGCUAGGUGUUGGGGACUUUCCGGUCCUCAGUGCCGCAGCAAACGCAUUAAGCGCUCCGCCUGGGGAGUACGACCGCAAGGUUGAAAC